rnacentral:misc_RNA from 1 species
CGUAUUGUAGGCCGGUCUGACCGGUUCUAUUCAACCCUGUUUUUUGCGUACUCUUCUGUUUCCUCGGCAGGCUUGCUUGCCGUUAGGACAUAUCAAAACCUUUAUGUUAGUAUUUCAGCGUCAAAAACAAUACAAUUGUAA